GAUGAACGCUGGCGGCGUGCCUAAUACAUGCAAGUCGAGCGAACGGACGAGAAGCUUGCUUCUCUGAUGUUAGCGGCGGACGGGUGUGUAACACGUGGAUAACCUACCUAUAAGACUGGGAUCACUUCGGGAAACCGGGGCUGAUACCGGAUGAUAUUUUGAACCGCAUGGUUCAAGAGUGAAAGACGGUCUUGCUGUCACUUAUAGAUUGAUCCGCGCUGCAUUAGCUAGUUGGUAAGGUAACGGCUUACCAAGGCAACGAUGCAUAGCCGACCUGAGAGGGUGAUCGGCCACACUGGAACUGAGACACGGUCCAGACUCCUACGGGAGGCAGCAGUAGGGAAUCUUCCGCAAUGGGCGAAAGCCUGACGGAGCAACGCCGCGUGAGUGAUGAAGGUCUUCGGAUCGUAAAACUCUGUUAUUAGGGAAGAACAGAUGUGUAAGUAACUGUGCACAGCUUGACGGUACCUAAUCAGAAAGCCACGGCUAACUACGUG
rnacentral:rRNA from 1 species